UUGGUGUUUUAAGUAUUCUUCAAGUCAAUUCUAUUCUUCAAGAUGGAAAUGAUGGAAAAAUAGAGUGUGCCAAAGAAACACAUGAGUCAGGAGCCAGCCCAAAGACAAUGGGGCCUAGGAAAGCCUUUCUGGAGAGGUAGGAGCUCGCAGUGAAGGCAGCUGCUUAACUUCUGCUGCACACUCCACACGCUGUGCUGCUCCUUUUGGAGCAAUUCAGUGUGUACUAAAGUUAAAGAUCAAUCAUCUGAAGUUCAAAGUCUUAGUACAUAAUUGUGUUUUUUUCUCUGUGGAAUGGAAGCUGUGCCAAAGGGAAGCUCCCACCUGGCCCAACUCCUCUCCCCAUUGUUGAGAAAUAUUCUACAGUUAAAUAGUAAGAACAUCAGCAAAUCCGUAAGCAUGUUGUUUACAGAGAAUUUGGUCUCUAAAGCCUGAAGGAAUGAUCCGGAAUCUGUCUUUUCCUUGAGAAAGCCAGUUACCAGACACUGUCCCUGGAAGUUCAUUCUUCGUAUGCUUUGGCUUUGGAUUUAAAGAGAUUGUGUCAGCACCCCAGCUUGUCCAUUUGUUAACUCACAUAUUUAAGCAGGAUUUAAAUCUCUCUUAGAUCAUGCUCAGCCUCCAAGCAGCCUCAAUGACAAAGAAUGUGGAGAAACAGAAGUUGAAUGAGCUCCUAAAACAGUCUAUCUUUCCUGGCUUUGCAGAAAAUUCUGGAGUCUGAAG